CCUANGGGAGGCUGCAGUCGAGAGGCUUCGGCAAUGGGGGAAACCCUGACCGAGCGACGCCGCGUGGGUGAUGAAGUCCUUCGGGAUGUAAAACCCUGUCAUACGGGAUGAAAAACCGAUCGGUUAAUAGCCUUUCAGUUUGACAGUACUGUAAGAGGAAGCUCCGGCUAACUCCGUGCCAGCAGCCGCGGUAAUACGGGGGGAGCGAGCGUUAUUCGGAUUUACUGGGCGUAAAGGGUUCGUAGGCGGUCAAGUAAGUCAGGGGUGAAAUCUAACGGCUUAACCGUUAAACUGCCCUUGAAACCGCUUGACUUGAGGACAUGAGAGGAAAGCGGAAUUCUUGGUGUAGCGGUGAAAUGCGUGGAUAUCAAGAGGAACACCAGUGGCGAAGGCGGCUUUCUGGCAUGUUACUGACGCUGAGGAACGAAAGUCAGGGGAGCGAACGGGAUUAGAUACCCUANUANUC
rnacentral:rRNA from 1 species